rnacentral:rRNA from 1 species
AGAGUUUGAUCCUGGCUCAGGACGAACGCUGGCGGCGUGCCUAACACAUGCAAGUCGAGCGGGGACAUGCGACGGAUCGGAAGUUUUCGGACGGAAGAGAAGAUGUAUGUUCUAGCGGCGGACGGGUGAGUAACGCGUGAACAAUCUGUCCUUCACAGGGGGAUAACACAGCGAAAGUUGUACUAAUACCGCAUGAGACCACGGUGUUGCAUGACACAGGGGUCAAAGGAGCAAUCCGGUGAAGGGUGAGUUCGCGUCCGAUUAGAUAGUUGGUGAGGUAACGGCCCACCAAGUCGACGAUCGGUAGCCGACCUGAGAGGGUGAUCGGCCACAUUGGGACUGAGACACGGCCCAAACUCCUACGGGAGGCAGCAGUGGGGAAUAUUGGGCAAUGGGGGGAACCCUGACCCAGCAACGCCGCGUGAGGGAAGAAGGUUUUCGGAUCGUAAACCUCUGUCCUUGGUGAAGAGGAAGAGACGGUAGCCAAGGAGGAAGCCCCGGCUAACUACGUGCCAGCAGCCGCGGUAAUACGUAGGUGACAAGCGUUAUCCGGAUUUACUGGGUGUAAAGGGCGUGUAGGCGGUUUAGCAAGUCAGAAGUGAAAUUCCCGGGCUUAACUUGGGCGCUGCUUCUGAAACUGCUUUACUUGAGUGCUGGAGAGGAUAGUGGAAUUCCUAGUGUAGCGGUAAAAUGCGCAGAUAUUAGGAGGAACACCGGUGGCGAAGGCGGCUAUCUGGACAGUAACUGACGCUGAGGCGCGAAAGCACGGGGAGCAAACAGGAUUAGAUACCCUGGUAGUCCGUGCCGUAAACGAUGAAUACUAGGUGUAGGGGGUAUCGACUCCCUCUGUGCCGCAGUUAACACAUUAAGUAUUCCACCUGGGGAGUACGGCCGCAAGGUUGAAACUCAAAGGAAUUGACGGGGGCCCGCACAAGCAGUGGAUUAUGUGGAUUAAUUCGAAGCAACGCGAAGAACCUUACCAGGGCUUGACAUCCUCUGACAACUCUAGAGAUAGAGCUUUCCCUCGGGACAGAGUGACAGGUGGUGCAUGGUUGUCGUCAGCUCGUGUCGUGAGAUGUUUGGUUAAGUCCAAUAACGAGCGCAACCCCUAUUGCUAGUUGCUACCAUUUAGUUGAGAACUCUAGCGAGACUGCCGCGGACAACGCGGAGGAAGGAGGGGACGACGUCAAAUCAUCAUGCCCCUUAUGUUCUGGGCUACACACGUGCUACAAUGGUCGGUACAAAGAGUCGCAAGACCGCGAGGUGGAGCAAAUCUCAAAAACCGAUCCCAGUUCGGAUUGCAGGCUGCAACUCGCCUGCAUGAAGUCGGAGUUGCUAGUAAUCGUGGAUCAGAAUGCCACGGUGAAUGCGUUCCCGGGUCUUGUACACACCGCCCGUCACACCAUGGAAGUUGGGGGCGCCCGAAGUUGGACAGCAAAUAGUUUACCUAAGGCGAAAUCAAUGACUGGGGUGAAGUCGUAACAAGGUAACC